UACGUAGGGUGCGGGCGUUAAUCGGAAUUACUGGGCGUAAAGCGUGCGCAGGCGGUUUGCUAAGACCGAUGUGAAAUCCCCGGGCUCAACCUGGGAACUGCAUUGGUGACUGGCAGGCUAGAGUAUGGCAGAGGGGGGUAGAAUUCCACGUGUAGCAGUGAAAUGCGUAGAGAUGUGGAGGAAUACCGAUGGCGAAGGCAGCCCCCUGGGCCAAUACUGACGCUCAUGCACGAAAGCGUGGGGAGCAAACAGG
rnacentral:rRNA from 1 species